UCCCUGCAUAAAAACCAAUGACAUGUACGGUAGAAACAAAAACAUUGCGAAAAUAGAACCGUCACCUGAGGAGUGGAGUCUGAUAUAUGGUUGUUUGUUCUUGUCUUGUCUGGCUUCUAACAGAUACAAAGUUUGUUUACUGUGUUGAAUCAAUGUAAAUGUUGUCAUGAGGAAGAUAGAAUCCGGAGGAAAUUUCCCUAAAAAUAUAAGGGAAAGAACUUGCGUGAGGAAGAGAAAUAUUGCACAACAAAGUCUACCAUGAUAACAAUCUAAGACAUAAAGUACCAAAAAAUUAAUAUCAAAGUUUGUAUUUAUACCAAAAAUAGCUCAUUUAUAAUAAGUUUUUGGGUAUGUGGUAUGAGCACACUACCUGUCAUGUAUCAACUUCUUUAUUUUUUCAAUCUUCUUUACUAAAUUGGUCUUGUUAUUGUUACCUGAGGGGGAGUUUAGAGAAUCUAAUUAAUAAAAACUUAUUGAUCAAUGAAUUGUCUUAUCCAACUACUUAUAUACAGUCACAAAUGUUUUAGCCUACUCUUUCUGUCUUCCAAAGCAGCGUUGCAUUGGAAAACAACCUACCAUCCUUAUCAUGAGCAUGAGCAUACUAUCAUAGUUUCAUUACCCUUCUAGUCAUUGCCUAAACUGACUGACAUACCGAUAUACUAAAACAUAAUACUCUUGAACAUUCGGCAAACAAACUGAUACACUGAAGAACCGUGAAGCAUUAAGAACACCCCAAUUCGAGACUCACUUGGGAUUUCACGAAAUUCUGUGACUAUGAAUCUAAUCCUAAUACUUUCAAAAACAAAAUUGAUUUUAAAUGGGGGGAAAUUGAUAUAAGAAAAGGGAAAAUAUUUACUUCCUUCGAGCCUUCAACGAUGGUAACACUUCAAUUUUUGGGUUCAAUUUCGGAUUUAGGGUUUAACAAGUUUUGGAGAAUGGAAGAAGGUUUUAGGGUUAAUUUGAUGGUGAACAAUGGAGAGAAAGGGUUGAUUUCGUCGGGGAAGACGGCGAGUU
rnacentral:lncRNA from 1 species